CCAUUGCAUGGAUAGUUCUUGAUCACGAUCUGAGAUCUAUGGAUAUCUUUGAGAUUUUUUGAAGCCACACACGCAUCUGACCUCUAUAGAUAUCCAUACAAAGCUGAUCUCGAUCAGCCAUCAGGUUGCUAGCUCUCCUACAAGUUUCUCUCAUUCAAUAGUUUGAUCUAUCUUCUUCUUUUUGUCUUUUUCUUUCGUAAGAAAUCCAAAAAAGAAAACAAGAGGAUGAAGAGGGAGAAGAUGCAUG
rnacentral:lncRNA from 1 species